GAGCAGGGGGUCAAGGCAGGGAGGGAGCCUGUUUCUGCAAAUGCUGAUAAACUACCUUGAUGUAUUUGAUAUGUGCUAGCACUGUAUUUAAUAGUGGUAAAAAUAUUCAGGUCUCAUGAUUCCAAUCCUAAGAUGUCAAGGCAAUUUUCCGUGCUAGAUAUUUUUGCUCACCGGAGUAUUGUAUAUACUGAUGCAAAUUGUACAUUAACUAGGCGGAAUACAACUUUAUUGCACUG
rnacentral:lncRNA from 1 species